rnacentral:rRNA from 1 species
UACGAAGGGGGGCUAGCGUUGCUCGGAAUCACUGGGCGUAAAGCGCACGUAGGCGGACUCUUAAGUCGGUGGUGAAAUCCUGGAGCUCAACUCCAGAACUGCCUUCGAUACUGAGAGUCUCGAGUCCGAGAGAGGUGAGUGGAACUGCGAGUGUAGAGGUGAAAUUCGUAGAUAUUCGCGAAGAACACCAGUGGCGAAGGCGGCUCACUGGCCCGGUACUGACGCUGAGGUGCGAAAGCGUGGGGAGCAAACAGG